rnacentral:rRNA from 1 species
GAUGAACGCUGGCGGCGUGCCUAAUACAUGCAAGUCGAGCGAACGGACGAGAAGCUUGCUUCUCUGAUGUUAGCGGCGGACGGGUGAGUAACACGUGGAUAACCUACCUAUAAGACUGGGAUAACUUCGGGAAACCGGAGCUAAUACCGGAUAAUAUUUUGAACCGCAUGGUUCAAAAGUGAAAGACGGUCUUGCUGUCACUUAUAGAUGGAUCCGCGCUGCAUUAGCUAGCUGGUAAGGUAACGGCUUACCAAGGCAACGAUGCAUAGCCGACCUGAGGGGGUGAUCGGCCACACUGGAACUGAGACACGGUCCAGACUCCUACGGGAGGCAGCAGUAGGGAAUCUUCCGCAAAGGGCGAAAGCCUGACGGAGCAACGCCGCGUGAGUGAUGAAGGUCUUCGGAUCGUAAAACUCUGUUAUUAGGGAAGAACAUAUGUGUAAGUAACUGUGCACAUCUUGACGGUACCUAAUCAGAAAGCCACGGCUAACUACGUG